GUGUGGAUACCUGGGUUACUUGUUAAAAUGCAGAUUCUGAUUUGGAAUCUUUGGUGGGACCUGAGAAUCUUCAUUUUGAGCAGGCUCCUGAGUGAUGCCAAA
rnacentral:miRNA from 1 species